rnacentral:tRNA from 1 species
GAUCUGGUGGAUAAUGCAGCUCCAUAGCUGGUCCUGGGUAAGGAUUGAAAAUCCGCGUGUCGGUGGUUCGAUUCCGCCCCAGGCCACCA